rnacentral:rRNA from 1 species
UACGUAGGGCGCGAGCGUUGUCCGGAUUUAUUGGGCGUAAAGAGCUCGUAGGCGGCUUGUCGCGUCGAAUGUGAAAACCCGAGGCUCAACUUCGGGCUUGCAUUCGAUACGGGCAGGCUGGAGUUCGGUAGGGGAGACUGGAAUUCCUGGUGUAGCGGUGAAAUGCGCAGAUAUCAGGAGGAACACCGGUGGCGAAGGCGGGGUCUCUGGGCCAAAACUGACGCUGAGGAGCGAAAGCGUGGGGAGCGAACAGG